rnacentral:rRNA from 1 species
UUGAACGCUGGCGGCAUGCUUUACACCUGCAAGUCGAACGGUAACAGGGAGCUUGCUCCGCUGACGAGUGGCGAACGGGUGAGUAAUAUAUCGGAACGUACCCAAGAGUGGGGGAUAACGUAGCGAAAGUUACGCUAAUACCGCAUACGAUCUAAGGAUGAAAGCAGGGGACCUUCGGGCCUUGUGCUCCUGGAGCGGCCGAUAUCUGAUUAGCUAGUUGGUGAGGUAAAGGCUCACCAAGGCGACGAUCAGUAGCUGGUCUGAGAGGACGACCAGCCACACUGGAACUGAGACACGGUCCAGACUCCUACGGGAGGCAGCAGUGGGGAAUUUUGGACAAUGGGCGCAAGCCUGAUCCAGCAAUGCCGCGUGAGUGAAGAAGGCCUUCGGGUUGUAAAGCUCUUUUGUCAGGGAAGAAACGGGAUUGGCUAAUAUCCAGUCCUAAUGACGGUACCUGAAGAAUAAGCACCGGCUAACUACGUG